GAUCAUGGCUCAGGAUGAACGCUAGCUACAGGCUUAACACAUGCAAGUCGAGGGGCAGCAUGGUCUUAGCUUGCUAAGGCCGAUGGCGACCGGCGCACGGGUGAGUAACGCGUAUCCAACCUGCCUUACACUCUUGGACAGCCUUCUGAAAGGGAGAUUAAUACAAGAUGUUAUCAUGAGUAAGCAUUUUCGCAUGAUUAAAGGUAUUUUCCGGUAGACGAUGGGGAUGCG
rnacentral:rRNA from 1 species